AAAGUGACGGUACCUGCAGAAGAAGCGCCGGCUAACUACGUGCCAGCAGCCGCGGUAAUACGUAGGGCGCAAGCGUUGUCCGGAAUUAUUGGGCGUAAAGAGCUCGUAGGCGGUCUGUCACGUCGGAUGUGAAAGCCCGGGGCUUAACCCCGGGUCUGCAUUCGAUACGGGCAGACUAGAGUGUGGUAGGGGAGAUCGGAAUUCCUGGUGUAGCGGUGAAAUGCGCAGAUAUCAGGAGGAACACCGGUGGCGAAGGCGGAUCUCUGGGCCAUUACUGACGCUGAGGAGCGAAAGCGUGGGGAGCGAACAGGAUUAGAUACCCUGGUAGUCCACGCCGUAAACGGUGGGAACUAGGUGUUGGCGACAUUCCACGUCGUCGGUGCCGCAGCUAACGCAUUAAGUUCCCCGCCUGGGGAGUACGGCCGCAAGGCUAAAACUCAAAGGAAUUGACGGGGGCCCGCACAAGCAGCGGAGCAUGUGGCUUAAUUCGACGCAACGCGAAGAACCUUACCAAGGCUUGACAUCGCCCGGAAAGCAUCAGAGAUGGUGCCCCCCUUGUGGUCGGGUGACAGGUGGUGCAUGGCUGUCGUCAGCUCGUGUCGUGAGAUGUUGGGUUAAGUCCCGCAACGAGCGCAACCCUUGUUCUGUGUUGCCAGCACGUCCCUUCGGGGAUGGUGGGGACUCACAGGAGACUGCCGGGGUCAACUCGGAGGAAGGUGGGGACGACGUCAAGUCAUCAUGCCCCUUAUGUCUUGGGCUGCACACGUGCUACAAUGGCAGGUACAAUGAGCUGCGAUGUCGCAAGGCGGAGCGAUUCUCAAAAAGCCUGUCUCAGUUCGGAUUGGGGUCUGCAACUCGACCCCAUGAAGUCGGAGUUGCUAGUAAUCGCAGAUCAGCAUUGCUGCGGUGAAUACGUUCCCGGGCCUUGUACACACCGCCCGUCACGUCACGAAAGUCGGUAACACCCGAAGCCGGUGGCCCAACCCCCUUGUGGGGAGGGAGCUUCGAAGGGACGG
rnacentral:rRNA from 1 species